rnacentral:rRNA from 1 species
ACUCAAAUGAAUAGACGGGGGCCCGCACAAGCAGCGGAGCGUGUGGUUUAAUUCGAGGCUACACGAAGAACCUUACCUGGGUUUGACAUACAAGUAGUAGGGAACCGAAAGGGGACCGACCGCAAGGAGCUUGUACAGGUGCUGCAUGGCUGUCGUCAGCUCGUGCCGUGAGGUGUUCGGUUAAGUCCGCAAACGAGCGCAACCCUCGGCGUUAGUUACAAGUGUCUAACGCGACUGCCCGUGAGAAACGGGAGGAAGGUGGGGAUGACGUCAAGUCAGCAUGGCCUUUAUAUCCAGGGCUACACACACGCUACAAUGGACGGUACAGUAGGUCGCGAAGCCGCGAGGUGGAGCCAAUCCAAAAAGCCGUUCGUAGUUCGGAUUGCAGGCUGCAACUCGCCUGCAUGAAGUCGGAGUUGCUAGUAACCGCGCGUCAGCUAUAGCGCGGUGAAUACGUUCCCGGGCCUUGCACACACCGCCCGU